CCUAGGCAGCCAGAUGCCAAACAAUGUGGUUAUUACGUGAUGAGAUUUAUGAGACAAAUUACUGAAGAAAUUGCAAUGAUCGAGGGGGAUACACUACCAUCGAUAUUCACAAAAGCGGAGUACUCUCAAGAAGAAAUUGAUGAAGUGCGCUCUGAGAUAGCCGAAUGCAUACAAUAUCAUAUUUAUGAAUAGGGAAAAGAUAAUGACCCCGUACCCAGAAAGGAGAA